rfam:Dipodomys ordii contig_56797, whole genome shotgun sequence.
GGGAAGAUGGUUCAGUGGUAGAGUGCUUGCCUUGCAUGCAUGAGGCCCUGGGUUCAAUUCCUCAGUACCA